rnacentral:rRNA from 1 species
CAGUCGCCGCGGGAAAACGAAGGGGGCUAGCGUUGUUCGGAUUUACUGGGCGUAAAGGGCGCGUAGGCGGACUGAUAAGUCAGGGGUGAAAUCCCAAGGCUCAACCUUGGAACUGCCUUUGAUACUGUUUGUCUUGAGUUCGAGAGAGGUAAGUGGAACUGCGAGUGUAGAGGUGAAAUUCGUAGAUAUUCGCAAGAACACCAGUGGCGAAGGCGGCUUACUGGCUCGAAACUGACGCUGAGGCGCGAAAGCGUGGGGAGCAAACAGGAUUAGAUACCCCGGUAGUCCCUGUCUCUUAUAA